rnacentral:lncRNA from 1 species
UGAUCCAAAUAUUAUUCCACAUUAAAUCAAACACUUGAUUUCUCAUUCAUAUUCAAUUCUUCCUUGUGUUCUUAAAGUUUUGGAGGAUCGCGCUUAUGCUUUAGAACUAGAUCCUUUACAAUGCUUGAUAUAAUCCUACAAACUGUUUGUCAAAAUCUUUAAACAUCUCAAACAAUCCCGAGAGGAGGCAAAUAUAGUUUGAAAACAGCAAUUACGCAUUCGAGCCUUCAUGUUCGUUAUGUUCUUUUUUUGUUUCAUUUUCUUAAUUAUAUUUUCUGGAAUUUUCUUUUUCAAUUUCCUCAGUUGAUGUAAAUAUUUCCAACAGAACAAGCCAAAGAAAAAUUGGAAGAAAAUAGAAGUAAAAAUUCAACAAAUAAAUGACAGUCUUGGUUUACAGUCAAAAAAGUACACACACCCUUCGAAACUGCAGCUCAUUCUCUCGGAAGAAAUCGAUUCGUGAACUUGAGGCAAAAAAUCAGUACCAGGUCUUUAUAUAGCGAAUAAAUAAAAAUCGAGAGCAUAUAAGUCAUUAAUCUACAAGAAGACACAAUUUAUUAUAAAGAAAUCAACCGAAAAAAUAAUAAAACAGACGAAGCAAAACUCGGAAGAAGGUAGAAGCAAAAACUCGAAGAAGACAGCGUAUAGCAUCGACAGACGUACCUACUACAGACUCCGACUAUGAUCUCUGAUGGUUUAAGGAAGAUCCAAAAGAAGAAGAGAAAUUGCCAAACAAAAGAAGCGAAAAGAACAAUGGUGCUAGGGUUUGAGAGAAAGAAAAAUGACCUAGGAUUUUCACUUUUGUGACCUUUAUACGCUCUAAAAACGGCGCCA